rnacentral:rRNA from 1 species
UACUAACGCUGGCGGCGUGCUUAACACAUGCAAGUCGAACGGAAAGGCCCUGCUUUUGUGGGGUGCUCGAGUGGCGAACGGGUGAGUAACACGUGAGUAACCUGCCCUUGACUUUGGGAUAACUUCAGGAAACUGGGGCUAAUACCGGAUAGGAGCUCCUGCUGCAUGGUGGGGGUUGGAAAGUUUCGGCGGUUGGGGAUGGACUCGCGGCUUAUCAGCUUGUUGGUGGGGUAGUGGCUUACCAAGGCUUUGACGGGUAGCCGGCCUGAGAGGGUGACCGGCCACAUUGGGACUGAGAUACGGCCCAGACUCCUACGGGAGGCAGCAGUGGGGAAUAUUGCACAAUGGGCGGAAGCCUGAUGCAGCAACGCCGCGUGCGGGAUGACGGCCUUCGGGUUGUAAACCGCUUUCGCCUGUGACGAAGCGUGAGUGACGGUAAUGGGUAAAGAAGCACCGGCUAACUACGUG